rnacentral:tRNA from 1 species
GGGGUGGUAGCGAAGUUGGUCAUCGCGCUGGCCUGUCACGCCGGAGAUCGCGGGUUCAAGUCCCGUCCACCUCGCCA